AGCAGCCGCGGUAAUUCCAGCUCCAAUAGCGUAUAUUAAAGUUGUUGCAGUUAAAAAGCUCGUAGUUGAAUUUCGGGGUUAGCAGGUCGGUCGUGCCAUCGGUAUGAACUGGUCUCGCUGAUCCCUCCCUCUUGACGAACUGUGAUGCCAUUAAUUUGGUGUCGCAGGGAAUCAGGACUGUUACUUUGAAAAAUUAGAGUGUUUAAAGCAGGCUCACGCUUGAAUACAUUAGCAUGGAAUAAUGAAAUAGGACGUUUGAUCCUAUUUUGUUGGCUUCUAGGAUUGACGUAAUGAUUAAUAGGGAUAGUUGGGGGCAUUAGUAUUCAAUUGUCAGAGGUGAAAUUCUUGGAUUUAUUGAAGACUAACUACUGCGAAAGCAUUUGCCAAGGAUGUUUUCAUUAAUCAAGAACGAAAGUUAGGGGAUCGAAGACGAUCAGAUACCGUCGUAGUCUUAACCAUAAACUAUGCCGACUAGGGAUCGGAUGAUGUUAAUUUUAAUGACUCU
rnacentral:misc_RNA from 1 species